AUUAACACUAAUCCAGCGUUGUUGUGAUUGAUUAACUGCUCACGUGCUCCACAAACCUGUCUAUCUCUCUCUUUAUCUGUCUGUCUCUCUCAUAAACAGUAAAGUGAGUGUUCACAGUGUUGAUGGAUCUCUGACAGACUUGAAGCAGACUGAAAUGGGAUGUGGAGUCACGAAAUCAAACCAGCAGCAGCUGAAACAAACUGAACGAGCAGCUACAGGUGAGAGAAAUCAAGUGUGUGUGUGUGUAUGUGUGUAUGUGAGUGUGUGUAUGUAUGUGUGUGUGUGUGUGUGUGUGUGUGUGUGUGUGUGUGUGUGUGUGUGUGUGUGUGUAUGUAUGUGUGUGUGUGUG